rnacentral:tRNA from 1 species
AGUGUAGCUCAGGGUAGAGCACUUGCCUGGAGUACAAGAACCCCUGAGUUCAAACCCUGCACU